UACGAAGGGUGCAAGCGUUAAUCGGAAUUACUGGGCGUAAAGGGUGCGUAGGUGGUUGAUUAAGUUAUCUGUGAAAUCCCUGGGCUUAACCUGGGCAGGUCAGAUGAUACUGGUUGACUCGAGUAUGGGAGAGGGUAGUGGAAUUUCCGGUGUAGCGGUGAAAUGCGUAGAGAUCGGAAGGAACACCAGUGGCGAAGGCGGCUCACUGGCUCGAUACUGACGCUGAGGUGCGAAAGCGUGGGGAGCAAACAGG
rnacentral:rRNA from 1 species